rnacentral:rRNA from 1 species
UGGCGAACGGGUGAGUAACACGUGAGUAACCUGCCCUUGACUUUGGGAUAGCUUCAGGAAACUGGGGCUAAUACCGGAUAGGAGCUCCUGCUGCAUGGUGGGGGUUGGAAAGUUUCGGCGGCUGGGGAUGGACUCGCGGCUUAUCAGCUUGUUGGUGGGGUAGUGGCUUACCAAGGCUUUGACGGGUAACCGGCCUGAGAGGGUGACCGGCCACAUUGGGACUGAGAUACGGCCCAG